rnacentral:misc_RNA from 1 species
UACUGAGUUUACGCUCUCAACCCUUUGUGAACAUACCUAUAACUGUUGCUUCGGCGGGUAGGGUCUCCGUGACCCUCCCGGCCUCCCGCCCCCGGGCGGGUCGGCGCCCGCCGGAGGAUAACCAAACUCUGAUUUAACGACGUUUCUUCUGAGUGGUACAAGCAAAUAAUCAAAACUUUUAACAACGGAUCUCUUGGUUCUGGCAUCGAUGAAGAACGCAGCGAAAUGCGAUAAGUAAUGUGAAUUGCAGAAUUCAGUGAAUCAUCGAAUCUUUGAACGCACAUUGCGCCCGCCAGCAUUCUGGCGGGCAUGCCUGUUCGAGCGUCAUUUCAACCCUCAAGCUCUGCUUGGUGUUGGGGCCCUACAGCUGAUGUAGGCCCUCAAAGGUAGUGGCGGACCCUCCCGGAGCCUCCUUUGCGUAGUAACUUUACGUCUCGCACUGGGAUCCGGAGGGACUCUUGCCGUAAAACCCCCAAUUUUCCAAAGGUUGACCUCGGAUCAGGUAGGAAUACCCGCUGAACUUAAGCAUAUCAAUAAGCGGAGGAAAAGAAACCAACAGGGAUUGCCUCAGUAACGGCGAGUGAAGCGGCAACAGCUCAAAUUUGAAAUCUGGCCCUAGGCCCGAGUUGUAAUUUGCAGAGGAUGCUUUUGGUGCGGUGCCUUCCAAGUUCCCUAGAACGGGACGCCAGAGAGGGUGAGAGCCCCGUACAGUUGGACACCAAGCCUUUGUAAAGCUCCUUCGACGAGUCGAGUAGUUUGGGAAUGCUGCUCAAAAUGGGAGGUAUAUUUCUUCUAAAGCUAAAUACCGGCCAGAGACCGAUAGCGCACAAGUAGAGUGAUCGAAAGAUGAAAAGCACUUUGAAAAGAGGGUUAAACAGCACGUGAAAUUGUUAAAAGGGAAGCGCUUGUGACCAGACUUGCGUCCGGUGAAUCACCCAGCUCUCGCGGCUGGGGCACUUCGCCGGCUCAGGCCAGCAUCAGCUCGCUGUCGGGGACAAAAGCUUCAGGAACGUAGCUCUCUUCGGGGAGUGUUAUAGCCUGUUGCAUAAUACCCUUCGGCGGGCUGA